rnacentral:lncRNA from 1 species
AUUAGUAUUUAGUAGGCCAUAAAUAUUAGGCCAAAAAUUAAUAUUUAGUAAGUAGUAUAUUUUUCAUGUGUUUUAAAAAAAUGUGAAUUUUUAAGGCCGGCUAUGUGUACUACAUACUAUGUACUUGUCGAACACAAUUUGACGAAUGUGACACCAUCUCAUUGUGGUCAUCACAAACUGCAAACAAAAUAACAUUUUUUUUGGUGCAACAAACAAAAAAAAACAAAAAAACAAAAUAGCUUAGUAUCAAUUAAUAACGCACAAAGAAAAUAUAGAGUACUCGUGCUAAAGAGCUACCACUUGGCCUCGUCUAGUUAAUACUAGCGUUAUAUGAUAUUAUCUCCAGUGUAAAAUUGUUGGAAAUUUUAUCAUUCUUUUCGUUAAUUUAAUAUCCGGUGCAUGCAAAAAGAAAAGGAGCUUUUUGAAUUCGACGUUACAGACUAAAUAAUUAAAUAUUACUAUAGUCUAGUGAAGUGAUGAUGAUGCUUAGUUUUUU